rnacentral:rRNA from 1 species
AACGAACGCUGGCGGCAUGCCUAACACAUGCAAGUCGAACGAGACCUUCGGGUCUAGUGGCGCGCGGGUGCGUAACGCGUGGGAAUCUGCCCUUGGGUUCGGAAUAACAGUUAGAAAUGACUGCUAAUACCGGAUGAUGACUUCGGUCCAAAGAUUUAUCGCCCAAGGAUGAGCCCGCGUAGGAUUAGCUAGUUGGUAGGGUAAAGGCCUACCAAGGCGACGAUCCUUAGCUGGUCUGAGAGGAUGAUCAGCCACACUGGGACUGAGACACGGCCCAGACGCCUGCGGGAGGCAGCAGUGGGGAAUAUUGGACAAUGGGGGAAAGCCUGAUCCAGCAUUGCCGCGUGAGUGAUGAAGGCCCUAGGGUUGUAAAGCUCUUUUACCCGGGAUGAUAAUGACAGUACCGGGAGAAUAAGCCCCGGCUAACGCCGUGCCAGCCGCCGCCGUAAAAC